rnacentral:rRNA from 1 species
UUAAGCGACUAAGCGUACACGGUGGAUGCCCUGGCAGUCAGAGGCGAUGAAGGACGUGCUAAUCUGCGAAAAGCGUCGGUAAGGUGAUAUGAACCGUUACAGCCGGCGAUGUCCGAAUGGGGAAACCCAGUGCAAUUCGUUGCACUAUCGUUAACUGAAUACAUAGGUUAACGAGGCGAACCGGGGGAACUGAAACAUCUAAGUACCCCGAGGAAAAGAAAUCAACCGAGAUUCCCCCAGUAGCGGCGAGCGAACGGGGAGCAGCCCAGAGUCUGAAUCAGCUUGUGUGUUAGUGGAACGGUCUGGAAAGUCCGACGGUACAGGGUGAUAGUCCCGUACACCAAAAUGCACAGGCUGUGAACUCGAAGAGUAGGGCGGGACACGUGGUAUCCUGUCUGAAUAUGGGGGGACCAUCCUCCAAGGCUAAAUACUCCUGACUGACCGAUAGUGAACCAGUACCGUGAGGGAAAGGCGAAAAGAACCCCGGCGAGGGGAGUGAAAAAGAACCUGAAACCGUGUACGUACAAGCAGUGGGAGCACCUUCGGGUGUGACUGCGUACCUUUUGUAUAAUGGGUCAGCGACUUAUAUUCUGUAGCAAGGUUAACCGUAUAGGGGAGCCGCAGGGAAACCGAGUCUUAACUGGGCGUUAAGUUGCAGGGUAUAGACCCGAAACCCGGUGAUCUAGCCAUGGGCAGGUUGAAGGUUGGGUAACACUAACUGGAGGACCGAACCGACUAAUGUUGAAAAAUUAGCGGAUGACUUGUGGCUGGGGGUGAAAGGCCAAUCAAACCGGGAGAUAGCUGGUUCUCCCCGAAAGCUAUUUAGGUAGCGCCUCGUGAAUUCAUCUUCGGGGGUAGAGCACUGUUUCGGCUAGGGGGUCAUCCCGACUUACCAACCCGAUGCAAACUACGAAUACCGAAGAAUGUUAUCACGGGAGACACACGGCGGGUGCUAACGUCCGUCGUGAAGAGGGAAACAACCCAGACCGCCAGCUAAGGUCCCAAAGUCAUGGUUAAGUGGGAAACGAUGUGGGAAGGCACAGACAGCCAGGAUGUUGGCUUAGAAGCAGCCAUCAUUUAAAGAAAGCGUAAUAGCUCACUGGUCGAGUCGGCCUGCGCGGAAGAUGUAACGGGGCUAAACCAUGCACCGAAGCUGCGGCAGCGACACUAUGUGUUGUUGGGUAGGGGAGCGUUCUGUAAGCCUGCGAAGGUGACCUGUGAGGGUUGCUGGAGGUAUCAGAAGUGCGAAUGCUGACAUAAGUAACGAUAAAGCGGGUGAAAAGCCCGCUCGCCGGAAGACCAAGGGUUCCUGUCCAACGUUAAUCGGGGCAGGGUGAGUCGACCCCUAAGGCGAGGCCGAAAGGCGUAGUCGAUGGGAAACAGGUUAAUAUUCCUGUACUUGGUGUUACUGCGAAGGGGGGACGGAGAAGGCUAUGUUAGCCGGGCGACGGUUGUCCCGGUUUAAGCAUGUAGGCUGGUUGUCCAGGCAAAUCCGGAUAAUCAAGGCUGAGGUGUGAUGACGAGGCACUACGGUGCUGAAGUAACAAAUGCCCUGCUUCCAGGAAAAGCCUCUAAGCAUCAGGUAACAUCAAAUCGUACCCCAAACCGACACAGGUGGUCAGGUAGAGAAUACCAAGGCGCUUGAGAGAACUCGGGUGAAGGAACUAGGCAAAAUGGUGCCGUAACUUCGGGAGAAGGCACGCUGGUGUGUAGGUGAAGUCCCUGCGGAUGGAGCUGAGACCAGUCGAAGAUACCAGCUGGCUGCAACUGUUUAUUAAAAACACAGCACUGUGCAAACACGAAAGUGGACGUAUACGGUGUGACGCCUGCCCGGUGCCGGAAGGUUAAUUGAUGGGGUUAUCCGUAAGGAGAAGCUCUUGAUCGAAGCCCCGGUAAACGGCGGCCGUAACUAUAACGGUCCUAAGGUAGCGAAAUUCCUUGUCGGGUAAGUUCCGACCUGCACGAAUGGCGUAAUGAUGGCCAGGCUGUCUCCACCCGAGACUCAGUGAAAUUGAACUCGCUGUGAAGAUGCAGUGUACCCGCGGCAAGACGGAAAGACCCCGUGAACCUUUACUAUAGCUUGACACUGAACAUUGAGCCUUGAUGUGUAGGAUAGGUGGGAGGCUUUGAAGCGUGGACGCCAGUCUGCGUGGAGCCAACCUUGAAAUACCACCCUUUAAUGUUUGAUGUUCUAACGUUGGCCCCUUACCGGGGUUGCGGACAGUGUCUGGUGGGUAGUUUGACUGGGGCGGUCUCCUCCCAAAGCGUAACGGAGGAGCACGAAGGUUAGCUAAUCCUGGUCGGACAUCAGGAGGUUAGUGCAAUGGCAUAAGCUAGCUUGACUGCGAGCGUGACGGCGCGAGCAGGUGCGAAAGCAGGUCAUAGUGAUCCGGUGGUUCUGAAUGGAAGGGCCAUCGCUCAACGGAUAAAAGGUACUCCGGGGAUAACAGGCUGAUACCGCCCAAGAGUUCAUAUCGACGGCGGUGUUUGGCACCUCGAUGUCGGCUCAUCACAUCCUGGGGCUGAAGUAGGUCCCAAGGGUAUGGCUGUUCGCCAUUUAAAGUGGUACGCGAGCUGGGUUUAGAACGUCGUGAGACAGUUCGGUCCCUAUCUGCCGUGGGCGCUGGAGAAUUGAGGGGGGCUGCUCCUAGUACGAGAGGACCGGAGUGGACGCAUCACUGGUGUUCGGGUUGUCAUGCCAAUGGCACUGCCCGGUAGCUAAAUGCGGAAGAGAUAAGUGCUGAAAGCAUCUAAGCACGAAACUUGCCCCGAGAUGAGUUCUCCCUGAGACUUUAAGUCUCCUGAAGGAACGUUAAAGACGAUGACGUUGAUAGGCCGGGUGUGUAAGCGCAGCGAUGCGUUGAGCUAACCGGUACUAAUGAACCGUGAGGCUUAACCUU